GACGAACGCUGGCGGCGUGCUUAACACAUGCAAGUCGUACGGUAAGGCCCUUUCGGGGGUACACGAGUGGCGAACGGGUGAGUAACACGUGAGUAACCUGCCCACAACUUUGGGAUAACGCUAGGAAACUGGUGCUAAUACUGGAUAUGUGCUCCUGCUGCAUGGUGGGGGUUGGAAAGCUCCGGCGGUUGUGGAUGGACUCGCGGCCUAUCAGCUUGUUGGUGGGGUAGUGGCCUACCAAGGCGGCGACGGGUAGCCGGCCUGAGAAGGCGACCGGCCACAUUGGGACUGAGAUACGGCCCAGACUCCUACGGGAGGCAGCAGUGGGGAAUAUUGCACAAUGGGCGCAAGCCUGAUGCAGCAACGCCGCGUGCGGGAUGACGGCCUUCGGGUUGUAAACCGCUUUCAGCAGGGACGAAGCUUUUUGUGACGGUACCUGCAGAAGAAGCACCGGCUAACUACGUG
rnacentral:rRNA from 1 species